AAGGAUCAUUACCGAGAGAGGGGCUUCGAGCCUCGGGGGGUUCAGCCCCCCAACUCUUCACCCGCUGCCUACCUACCUUCGUUGCUUUGACGGGCCUCGGGGGUUCGCCCCGCGUCGGUUCUUGGGCCGAUGAGCGCCCGUCAGAGACCAUUCAAAUCCUAUCUGAUAAGUGACGUCCGAGUAAGAAUACAUAAUAGCAAAAACUUUCAACAACGGAUCUCUUGGUUCCAGCAUCGAUGAAGAACGCAGCGAAAUGCGAUAAGUAAUGUGAAUUGCAGAAUUCAGUGAAUCAUCGAAUCUUUGAACGCACAUUGCGCCCCUCGGUAUUCCGGGGGGCAUGCCUGUUCGAGCGUCAUUGCACCCCUCAAGCGUAGCUUGGUAUUGGGUCCUCGCCCUCUUGGCGUGCCCGAAAAACAGUGGCGGUCCGGCGUGACUUUAAGCGUAGUAAUGUCCAUCCCGCUUUGAAGGUUCGCCCCGUGACCGGCCAGAUAACCCCAUUACUUUUAAUAAUUGACCUCGGAUCAGGUAGGGAUACCCGCUGAACUUAA
rnacentral:rRNA from 1 species